AUUUCUUUUGCUAGGGGAGACUAGUCUCAUGGAUAAUGUGCCACACAACAUUACCUCUUGUAAGAUGAGAACAUUCCAUAUCACACGAUGUGGCAGUAAAGGACAAUGUGGUACAUACAGGGAAAAGGCAGAGCUGUGAGGAUGAAGCAUGAAGUAAUUAGAAGUUCUUCAAAUGAGCUGGGUGAAAUGGAACAGAAGGUGCAGCCUCGGCAGACAGAACUCUCUGAACACCCAGCCUGACAGUCUCAGGAUUGCUGUCUCGGUCUAACAAAGAGGAAACAGAUUUUACUGCAGUAGGACCAACGUAAUGAUUUCUACGAGCAUUGGCAGGACUUUUCCUGAAUGCAGUGUGAUUGCUUUCUAACUUACACUGUUGUCUGCAUUUUGUGUAUACUGUAUAACCCAAAAAGGAAAUAAAAAAGUACCGCUUUUCUGAGAGAAACCCA
rnacentral:lncRNA from 1 species